UCCCAAAUAGAAUUCUGUAUUUCUUUCUUCUCUUCGUUAAUUUUCUUUGAUUUUCCCGUUGUUGGAAGCUCUCCCUCCUUUUCUCCGCCAUAGCCAAACUUCCAACUCCAUCGUACGACACCAGUGAGCUCUAACGCAUUGAAGAUCGCCGCCUCCCAACGGAGGCGACGAAUAGAAGAAGAAGUUCGUCUUCCGGAAACAGAGUCCCUAGCGAACCAACGGCUGACGGAGACCGGCCAGCGGAGGCGACGGACUGCCACCGCCGACGGAAGCCAUGGAGACUGGCUACGUAGCUUCGGGUGAAUGAUUCUCUCCUGAGGUUCUGAGCUUCAUGCAGCUGACUAUAUAGAUCAGGCAACAAGACAUGCAAAGAUGGAAGUUCUUGAUAUUCUUCUUAAGCAGUGGCGGUGCACUGGAUUUUCAUCUGCAGAAGUUGCAGAGAAUUUUUCAGCAUGCUCCCUUUAUGUGAGUAAUGGAAAUCUGAUCAAAUGCACCCUAAGUAUAGUUGAUUUAGUGGAAUGGUGUUCAGCCAUAUAAUGGUUGCAAAGAAUGGUUGUAGAAUUUGCUCAAAAACAAAAGCUCCAAAGCCUCACAGGUCACGGGUUACUCAAGGCUUCUUAUUAGAUCUGUGUGCAUUGGCUCUUCCUGUUGAACCUUUCGUGGCUUUGCAUGACUAGAAUUUCCUCAAGAAGCCCAGAGAGAAGAAGCUUGAUUCUUGUCCAGAUCAGUUUUUGCCUGGUGGUCAUGUGUUCACUAAGAAUUGAAGCUACAGUCACAUGUUAAUUUCAUACUUUAACUUAAUUAUUAGACUGUUAAGAUAAUUUAUGGCAUGACCCUAUGUAGGCACCACUUUUCUGAUGCUAAUUUUUGUCAUCAACAUAUUCUGUAAUCUACUUGAUUUUUAUUUUUUUUUUUGAGUUUUUAGAACUUUGAGUUAAUUCUAGGUGUGCUAUUGAUGUGUUUGAGCACC